GUGCAUUUUUCCUUUGAUCUUUUUUUGUGAUAAUUUUUCAUAUCAUGCUACUCGCUUGAGAUGGAAAAUUAUCGCUAGAAACUAAGCAGGCACGUGGCGUUGAUAACGAAAUUGACAUGAAAUUGACAACGUCGUCAUAGGUAAAAUAGCGAUAAACAGAUUAUCAGUGAUCAUCUCAACUCGAUUGCCUUUCUCGCUUUCGCCG
rnacentral:lncRNA from 1 species